rnacentral:sRNA from 1 species
CUGAAAGGACUCGGUGGGGUGGCUUCUUCCGAGGAAGCUCCUGAAGAUGUUUUUCCUGAGGUUUCCUCUAAUACAGGGUUCACAGGGCCUGGGGCUCUGGCCACCCCACCAGGUGUUGUCCCCCAGACCACUGGGGACAGUGGCUGCCCCGAGUGGCCCUGCCCCUGCUGAGAGCCACAGCCUUUGGGGGUACAGGGUGGGGCUGUGGGGGAGCUGGGUGGGCUCCCAAAUCCAUAUCCUGGUCUCCCCAGGUACAUCCAGACACUGAAGGACCACAGGCCCCGGAUGGUGUGGGACACCCAGGCCUCAGAGCACUUCUUCGAGUACAAGAAGAGCCGCAGUGGGAGGCAUGUCGUCUUCUACCCAACCCUGAAGUCCCUGCAGGUGCGGCUGGAGCUGGCCCGGGAGCUGGGCGUUGGGGUCUCUAUCUGGGAGCUGGGCCAGGGCCUGGACUACUUCUACGACCUGCUGUAGGUGGGCAUUGCGGCCUCCGCGGUGGACGUGUUCUUUUCUAAGCCAUGGAGUGAGUGAGCAGGUGUGAAAUACAGGCCU